rnacentral:rRNA from 1 species
UUAAGCGAAUAAGCGUACACGGUGGAUGCCUAGGCAAUCAGAGGCGAUGAAGGACGUGCUAAUCUGCGAAAAGCGUCGGUAAGGUGAUAUGAACCGUUAUACCCGACGAUAUCCGAAUGGGGAAACCCAGUAUCCAAUGGAUACUAUCAUUAACUGAAUCCAUAGGUUAAUGAGGCGAACCGGGAGAACUGAAACAUCUCAGUACCCCGAGGAAAAGAAAUCAACCGAGAUUCCCCUAGUAGCGGCGAGCGAACGGGGAGCAGCCCAGAGUCUUAAUCAAUAGCAGUGUCAGGAGAACGGUCUGGAAAGUCCGGCAGUA